CAAAGCCGCGAGGUGGAGCGAAUCUCCAAAAAUUGUCCCAGUUCAGAUUGCAGGCUGCAACUCGCCUGCAUGAAGUCGGAAUUGCUAGUAAUCGUGGAUCAGCAUGCCACGGUGAAUACGUUCCCGGGCCUUGUACACACCGCCCGUCACACCAUGGGAGUCGGUAACACCCGAAGCCUGUAGUCUAACCGCAAGGAGGACGCAGUCGAAGGUGGGAUUGAUGACUGGGGUGAAGUCGUAACAAGGUAGC
rnacentral:rRNA from 1 species